rnacentral:rRNA from 1 species
AUCUGGGCGGCGGAAUUCAGGAUGGCGAGCGUGUCUUCGCGGCGCGUUCGUCGUUUGAUAUUUCCGUCGCCGAUCACACUCAGACGUCGCGACCUGUUCGCGGUCGGUCCCUGCUUCGGAGGAGCCGCGUUCGAGUUCGUUGUGGGCGCGCUUCGGCGCGUUUCACGGCGAAGGCGCGGAUCUCUGGCUGGCCGUCGGACAGUACGUUCAACGGUGUCCGGUGUCGUCGUAUUCGUACGCGCGCGCACCGGUACCGGUCAGCGACGAAUUCUUCGGGCCUCUUUCCGACCCGUCUUGAAACACGGACCAAGGAGUCUAACAUGCGCGCGAGUCGCGGGGUGUCGAGCGUACUUCGGUGCGUUCGUUACGUUGCGAAACCCGUACAUGUCGAAGGCGUAAUGAAAGUGAAUGGGGAAGAUGGUGUUCCGAGUACACGUUCCACGAUCGUUGGCAUCGCGGCCGGACACCCGCAUUCCCGGGGCGUCUCAACGGCCCGUCGCGGAUGUGGACCGUCGUCUCUCGGGGCGGCUGUCAGUCUGCGACGAACCGA